AAACAAGGGGGAAGUUCGAAAGAAGCAGCAGUAGAGAAUAUUGUACAAUAAAUUAAAAUUUGAUACAGAGAGGCCUUUAUGGCCUGUCAAAAUAAGUGCCAGCAGACGCGGUGAUACUUAUAGGCCGGUUUUCUAAGAAAGGCGUAAAGAAGGUGAAACUUGUAAACAAAAAGAAACAUUUGGAGCUUUUUUGAAACGGAACAAUGUUAAGAAAAAAUGAAACGCCAAGUGGAAAAUGUUAUAAGGAGAAACAUGAAAGAGAGGGGAGCUAACAGGAUUAGACACCCUGGUCGUCCUCUCCGUAAACCUUGAAGUAAUUGUGUUACAAAGUUGAAAAAAAACUUCCGCCUGAAUGGUACGUUCGCAAGAAUAAAAUUCAAAAAAAUUGGCUGUUCAUUUUAAAAUUAGAGGGGCGCGUAUAUUAAUCGAAGGUACGCGAGCAUCUCACCUUGGUUGGAGUAAUUAGGUAUUGCAUGGCCGUCGUAAUUUCAUGUUUUAAACAAGGAAUUAACUCAUGCUAAUGAAGUAAGAUAGGUAGGAUGAUCCAAAUGCCAAGGGCUAUAUUCGCCACGUUACUAUAUUUAAUAUAAAAUAUAAAGCCGGAAAGGCUUUGUAAAAGGCCUAGAAGUUGAAUUUAAUAGUAAUCGGAGAAGAGAAAGCUCCGGUAAAUUUUAUAAAUGUAAGCACAAAUUGCCCGUCACCUCCCCUUAAAAANUUUUUUUGAAAUAAGUUAUAACAAAAAAAAAUAAAGGGGAGCAAGUCGUAACAUAGUGAGAGAGGGGGGAACAA
rnacentral:rRNA from 1 species